rnacentral:rRNA from 1 species
AGUGAACGCUGGCGGCGUGCCUAAUACAUGCAAGUCGAACGAAGUGGCGCACGGGUGAGUAAUAUAUAGUUAAUCCGCCCUACACAGAGGAACAACAGUCGGAAACGACUGCUAAAACCCGAUAGUGUAGGAUGAGACUAUAUCGUAUCAGCUGGUUGGUAAGGUAAUGGCUUAACAAGGCUAUGACGCGUAACUGGUCUGAGAGGAUGAUCAGUGACUUUGGACGUGGGACGCAGUCCGAACUCCUACGCAAGGCAGGAGUAAGGGAUAUUGCGCAGUGGGGGAAACCCUGAAGCAGCAACGCCUCGUGGAGGAUGACACUUUUCAGAGCGUAAACGCCUUUUAUCAGGAAAGCGGUACCUGAUGAAUAGGCACCGGCUAACUCCGUGCCAGCACCGCGGUAAUUC